rnacentral:rRNA from 1 species
AUUGAACGCUGGCGGCAGGCUUAACACAUGCAAGUCGAGCGGAGAUGAGGUGCUUGCACCUUAUCUUAGCGGCGGACGGGUGAGUAAUGCUUAGGAAUCUGCCUAUUAGUGGGGGACAACAUUCCGAAAGGAAUGCUAAUACCGCAUACGUCCUACGGGAGAAAGCAGGGGAUCUUCGGACCUUGCGCUAAUAGAUGAGCCUAACUCGGAUUAGCUAGUUGGGGGGGGAAAGGCCUACCAAGGCGACGAUCUGUAGCGGGUCUGAGAGGAUGAACCGCCACACUGGGACUGAGACACGGCCCAGACUCCUACGGGAGGCAGCAGUGGGGAAUAUUGGACAAUGGGGGAAACCCUGAUCCAGCCAUGCCGCGUGUGUGAAGAAGGCCUUAUGGUUGUAAAGCACUUUAAGCGAGGAGGAGGCUACUGAGACUAAUACUCUUGGAUAGUGGACGUUACUCGCAGAAUAAGCACCGGCUAACUCUGUGCCAGCAGCCGCCGCAG